rnacentral:rRNA from 1 species
UUGGAGGGCAAGUCUGGUGCCAGCAGCCGCGGUAAUUCCAGCUCCAAUAGCGUAUAUUAAAGUUGUUGCAGUUAAAAAGCUCGUAGUUGAAUUUCGGGAUCAAUACGUCGGUCGUGCUUCGGUACGUACUGGCGUCAUCGAUUUCUCCCUUCUGACGAACCAUGAUGUCAUUAACUUGGUGUCAUGGGAAAUCAGGACUGUUACUUUGAAAAAAUUGAGUGUUUAAAGCAGGCUCACGCUUGAAUACAUUAGCAUGGAAUAA